AGUUCCACAGUGUAGCGGUUAUCACAUUUGCUUUACAUGCAGAUGGUCCUGGGUUUGAGUCCCAGUGGAAAUA
rnacentral:tRNA from 1 species